rnacentral:rRNA from 1 species
ACUCCUACGGGAGGCAGCAGUGGGGAAUUUUGGACAAUGGGCGCAAGCCUGAUCCAGCAAUGCCGCGUGCAGGAAGAAGGCCUUCGGGUUGUAAACUGCUUUCUGUACGGAACGAAACGGUCUGGAUUAAUACCCUGCGCUAAUGACGUACCGUAAGAAUAAGCACCGGCUAACUACGUGCCAGCAGCCGCGGUAAUACGUAGGGUGCA